GCCAGACUCCUACGGGAGGCAGCAGUGGGGGAUAUUGGACAAUGGGGGAAACCCUGAUCCAGCGACGCCGCGUGAGUGAAGAAGUAUUUCGGUAUGUAAAGCUCUGUCAGCAGGGAAGAAAGAAAUGACGGUACCUGACCAAGAAGCCCCGGCUAACUACGUGCCAGCAGCCGCGGUAAUACGUAGGGGGCAAGCGUUAUCCGGAAUUACUGGGUGUAAAGGGAGCGUAGACGGUGAUGCAAGUCUGGAGUGAAAGGCGGGGGCCCAACCCCCGGACUGCUCUGGAAACUGUGUAACCUGAGUGCAGGAGAGGUAAGCGGAAUUCCUAGUGUAGCGGUGAAAUGCGUAGAUAUUAGGAGGAACACCAGUGGCGAAGGCGGCUUACUGGACUGUAACUGACGUUGAGGCUCGAAAGCGUGGGGAGCAAACAGGAUUAGAUACCCUAGUA
rnacentral:rRNA from 1 species